UGGAGCCGCUUGUGUUUUGUGGAAUCCUCUUUGCUGCCUGUUUGCCUGUGAACUGAUGGAGAGUUAUUUUUGUAUAUGGAUUAAAGGGUACUUACCGCCGGGUCUUGAUCCAGCGUUGGUGAUGGGAGAAAUGUUUGAAACCAGACGGUCAAACAAUUUAACCAUUUAUUACAUCGCGCUUGGCAAGAUUAUUAAUGGAAUAAGAAUGGAUCUUUUCCAUCGUUUGAUUUUUUCUAGUAUCACAGGCGCUAGCUUCCGCGAGUUAACCAUCCUAUGUGUAUGUGACACACAACUAUAUUUACCAAUAGCUAUAGCCAAGCACCAUAUUCAUAUAAGAUAAGCCGUACACUCAUACAUACAAGAUAAGAUUAGGAUUAGAGUUGAUAGGAAUCAAACUAGGAGAAAUAAAGACAGUUAGAAUCUGGAACUCAAAGCGUUCGCAUCAUUUGAUCCAAAAAUAUAUUAACUGGCGCCCGAAUAGGUUUUAUGUGUGUGAGGGAAGAGUAUAAGUGCAUAUAAAGUAUAAAAAAUCCUACACGUGAAGCUAAACACUUCCAUCGAGUGGUUGAAGGAGCCACUAAUUAUUUGCACCAAGCGAGAACUGCGACACUGUGGAUUUCACCCGAUUGAUUGCUGAGGCCCCUAGUACGGAAAAAAGGACCAUCCUCUGCAAGCUGCCUAGCUUUCCCCCGAAGACAUCAUACUGUGACAAAUUUUGUUUGGUGUACGCGCAUAUUGAUCGACGGUUACCUGCUGGUCUUGCCAACUUCCCGCAAAAUGAUCGACGGAAGGAAAAUGGGGUCCGGUUUUAAAAUGUGAAGCUCUUUCGUAGAAGAGCGCAUUUCAAGGACGCCAAGGAUACGGCUGAACAUGCGCAGCACCAGCCCGUGAUGUCAUUUCCAGACAGACGCCGGCUGUACACGCGCAGCACCAGUCGAGGAUAGCCUAACGAGAAGGGUAGAAGGAAGAACGAGAGGGAGGGUAACGGAAAGUUACCGCAACAUUUGUAGGAGGUGAAGCAUCCAGCCGUGUACAGAGUGUGAGUAUGAUAAAACGCAUGUGGAAAGAGGAAGUUCAAUUAAUAGCAUGCAAAAGUGUACAUAAAGCAAGAGGAAAAGUGUCACAACAACAACCAGCAAUCCGAAAAUGUAAGGGAAGCGAUAAAUAACAGGUUGGCUGAUAAGUCCUCGGUCUGACACAUAUAUGGCGCCGCUAGUAUUGAAUGCAUAUUUUUUUAUAUAGUACCAACCUUUAAAUGAUUCGUGUCAAAAUUUGACGUCGGUAUGUCAAUUAAUUUGUGAGACAGAGCGUCUUUUGUCAAGCAACUUUUGUGUUGUGUUGUUCCACCAAGACAACGCACCGUGCCACAAGUCAUUGAGAACGAUGGACCACACGACGGUGCAGUCUGAUACACUUCCCUCCAAACCUUCCCUUUUUCUUAUAUACCCAACAUUUGUUGGUGAAACAAUAAAUUAAUUUAUUCAGAAAUUGGCAUUUGCCUACCCUACUAGCAAUGAGAAUGAAAAAGUGUGCGACUUUCAGGCGAGGGGCAUGGAGAAGCAGGGGGAGACGGUUGGAAAUACGCGGAAUUACGCGGAGGCGCGAGCGUGUUUUGGUUUCUACACAGUUUUUGCACUCACACAAUUACACAUGUGUGAAUGUGUGCGUUCACUUUCAGCCUGCGCGCUCAGUUUGGUUUUCUCGCAGCGGCAUGCGGGUAUCGGUGUCUCGCUCGCACUAGUGCAGCGAGUGUUCCUCUGUGCGCUCCCCUUCUUGCCACCACACGAAAUCGACAGUUCAGCUCAAGCGUUCGCCGUGAAAGGCUGCGCGCGUGUUAGCCUAAGUCCCGGGCGAUCGAAGUUUCGCUAAGUGUUGAAGUGUUGUGCACAUUGAAAUGAAGCUGCGCUUAUUUGUUAUCAUUUAUCCUAAAUGUGUGAUUUGCGUUGCUUCAUUUUAAUAUUUGUUUGCUGUAUUGAACAUCAACAACGGUAUCCAUGCAGUUAGGCGACUAUUUUAAAUACGGCGAUUUUUUUUAUAUAAAUAAUGUGUGUGAUUUUGUGGCAAGAUUGUGUGAAGCUAUGUGUGAAAAUGCCCCUUUAUUUGCAAUAAAAGUGAUAAAAUAUAAACCAA